rnacentral:rRNA from 1 species
UACGAAGGGGGCUAGCGUUGCUCGGAAUCACUGGGCGUAAAGCGCACGUAGGCGGGUCUUUAAGUCAGGGGUGAAAUCCUGGAGCUCAACUCCAGAACUGCCUUUGAUACUGAGGAUCUCGAGUCCGGGAGAGGUGAGUGGAACUCCGAGUGUAGAGGUGAAAUUCGUAGAUAUUCGGAAGAACACCAGUGGCGAAGGCGGCCAUCUGGACCGGUUCUGACGCUGAGGCGCGAAAGCGUGGGGAGCAAACAGG